rnacentral:rRNA from 1 species
GACAGAGGGUGCAAACGUUGCUCGGAAUUACUGGGCGUAAAGGGCGCGUAGGCGGCCUUCUAAGUCGGACGUGAAAUCCCCCGGCUCAACCGGGGAACUGCGUCCGAUACUGGAGGGCUCGAAUCCGGGAGAGGGAUGUGGAAUUCCAGGUGUAGCGGUGAAAUGCGUAGAUAUCUGGAGGAACACCGGUGGCGAAGGCGGCAUCCUGGACCGGCAUUGACGCUGAGGCGCGAAAGCCAGGGGAGCAAACGGG